rnacentral:sRNA from 1 species
UUUCGUUUGUCUUUAGAAAAAUUAUUUCACGUUUCAUUUUUCUUUGCACUGAUUUGAAAUUUUCUGUUUUUUAAAUUUUGCUAGGUAUAACCCGGAAAAAUCCCAGAACACCUCUUUCUGAUCUCCAGGGCAUGAAUGCUCUAAAUGAAAAAAACCAACAUGAUACAUUUGAUAUUGCCUGGAAUGGCAGAACUGGGAUUCG